rnacentral:tRNA from 1 species
GCCGGGCGGGGCUACGGAAGCCGUGGCUCACGACCGCGUGAGCUGGACCGGCGUUCAGGCCGCCGACUGGGUC